rnacentral:lncRNA from 1 species
AUGUAUUUUUUAUCUUCCUGGAAAACAGAGGUCUUUUAUUGAUAGCCUUUGUGAUAAAUGAUUUGGAUAUGAACAUGAACUAAAUUUCUUUUUUUUUAAGAUUUUUUUUUUUUUUAUUUAUUCAUGAGAGACACUGAGAGAGAUGCAGAGGGAGAAACAGGCUCCCUGUAGGGAGCCCGAUGCAGGACUUGAUCCCAAGACCCUGGGUCAUGACCUGAGCCAAAGGCAGACACUCAACCACUGAGCCACUCAGGAGUCCCUAAACUUCUUAAUUAAUGCCUCUGCUCUCAAGAAAUUAUCUUACUUUGCUGGCUAUGAUUGAAAACAGAAGAAAGGGAUCCCUGGGUGGCGCAGCGGUUUGGCGCCUGCCUUUGGCCCAGGGCGCGAUCCUGGAGACCUAGGAUCAAAUCCCACGUCAGGCUCCCGGUGCAUGGAGCCUGCUUCUCCCUCUGCCUGUGUCUCUGCCUCUCUCUCUCUCUCUCUGUGACUAUCCUAAAUAAAUAAAUAAAAUAUUUAAAAAAAAAAAAGAAAACAGAAGAAAGAGAUUGGCACUUGUCACAUAAACAAGGUUUAAAUUAUUGGAACGCUCACAUUCUUAAAUCUCUGGUAUUCCUUGACUUCUCUUUUUCACUUUGGCUAUUAGAGUUCUUUUCCUCUUUAUUUAUAUGUAAAUAUAUUUUAUCUAAUGCCUCAUUUUGUAAGAAAAUAGAAAAUGUUUGUAUUGUUUAGAAAUGCAUUAGGCAGCAAGUAACAGAAAACCCAGCUACAACAUCUGCUUAUCAUUCUAAUUUAACAAUAGUCCAGAGAGAUGAAAGGUUGCUGGCUUUUGUUCAGGACCUCAGUAGUAAUAUUAAGGCUAAUGUUUCUGGGAUUGUUGUAGAUUUUCCUCAACUUUCCCCCAAUGUGGUUGCAAAGUGGCUGCUGUAUUCCAGAUAUCACAUCCUCCUUCAAGGCAGGAAAAAGCAAAGCAGAGGGAAGACCCAUGCUUUCUGCUGCUUAAUAUCUGAAAAACAGAAAAUGUCAUACCCUUUCCUCCUUCAUCCAUAUGUCUGCUAGUUUCAUUGGCCUAAACCAAAUCACAUCCUUGCUGCAAAGGAGGACAACAAUUAUCAUUCCCUGGGGUUGGGCAUAGUCUAUCAAUUAUUUAAGCAGGAUAAUGAUUACUGUGUAGGCAAAAAUAACCACAAUAUUGUAGACGCCAGGUUAGGUUUUAUGCAAACUGCCUUCCAAAUUAGAGGAAGUAAAUGCCAGGGGAAAUGGCUGAUCCCAAUCCUUCCAGUCCUCCUUCAUGUGAAUUGAACAUGCUUAAUGUCUGUAUUAUUUAUUUGGUAUGAUGGGCAAAGUAGUAAAUGUUGGAACCAGCGAGUUGUUCUGCCCCAGUCUCCAUCCUUGGCCUCAGAAUGGUUUCUCUUCCCUUCAUCACAUCUAUCAGGAUGGUUAUAGUUGGUGGCGGAUAUAAUAGAUGUGAUGUUGGACCAUGUUUGAUGAUGGCUGGGUGCUCACCAAAGGCAUCUAAACAAAUAAGCAUGAAGCCUGUUUUUCUUGACCCAAACUUUCAAGACCAGGCACAGGCCCUGGUAUGUUCUCCUUGCAUAGUCUGUAGUCAUCAAGGUGAGAGCCCACCCAUCCCCAUCCCUACUCUCUCCCCUUUUCCAUACUCAAUUUCUGCCCUAUCCAGCCCCACCUUCUACCCCUACCCUUACUUCAUCAGAAACUGGGACUUUAUUUCCUAUUGGCUUAUUUACUCCCAAAACUCACUUAGAAAUAGCCACCUAUAUUGACUCAAUUAAUACCUGGAUUCAUGAGUCAAAGUUGAAUAAUUCUGUAAUAUUUUUGUGGACCAAAGCUUUCAUAGAAUCAGCAUGGAAUAGCCCAGUACAAAGUAGCUGCUUUCUUAUCCUGAUACUGCAUUUGAAAAGCAAACCUGAAGUUCACUUUCCUUUGCUCAGUCAUUGUUCAAGGUGAAAUAGGCAUAACCAAAAUUUUAGAUAUCCCUUGUGCAGUGCAGAUAGCUUUCCAAUAAUAUUUAUGAAAAGAUACGGAGUUGCUUUUGCUUAUCAUGCAGCUUGCUACUGACUUUUUAUUUUCUGCAUAAAAAGGAAAAAAAAUAAGACUUCUGUAGGCUUCCUAUUAAAAGACACCUAGACUGAAUGGAAGAUUUCCUUUUGUUAGUAUUUUUUCUACUUGCAGAGCCAGGAGUCAAAACCAUAGAAUAAGAGCAUUCAAGUUUCUUUAUAGUUCAAGCAGAGGGAAGCAGGGAAUGGACAGAAGUAGGUCACAUUGUGUUUGCAAGACCAGGGCAAUGUGAAAUUUCUUGGAGUAGUCAGACCCUGAUGGAUUCUUCUUUUGGGGAAGAAUGUUUCAGAAAAGUCAGAAACCAAGCAAUAUAGUGUAUGGCAGCCUGCAAAAUAUUUUUUUUUUCCUAGUAAAAGGAAAUUAUUCGGCAAUUUAAGAAAAUUCUUUGUCAGAAAAUGACAAGUGGCUUUUCCCAAGAUAAUCAGAAGGUGGGUUAGACACGUCUCUGCCGUUGCACAGCACACAGCCCUUGAGUGAUUCUCAGCUGUCACAAACUCCCACGUGCUCAGGAUAGGGAGACAACAGUGGUGCUCUUAGCCCAGAGCAGUGCGUCCUAGUCACCAGCUUUGCCAGCUACUUUACUAGCUAUUUAGCAGUGACUUCGAGGAAGUCUUAGUCCUUAAAACCUAAUCUGAAUGUUUUCACCAAAAAAACCCCACAGUGGGUCUGUUUGGUCUCUUUGACUCCUAAAAUCGGGGUGUUGCUUUCAGUGUGGGUCGUGCAGUUUCAGGAUAAUCUGGGAAUUCUUGGGUUAUUGUGCUGGCCCCUAACAGAUAGUAAAAAUGGGGAGAGAAGAGGUGGGAGCUUCUAUGGGUCCCCGUCUCUACCUUUCUUUUCUUCUUUCCCACAGGAGGACAGGGCGGUACCAGGAAGGCUGUGAUUUUCAAUCUUUUCAUGAUUUCAGUGUCCCAUGACCUCUAGUUGUUCUUUCUGUCUCUCCAUCUCGGAUUUAGGUGCAUUGUUCCCUCUCCCUUUCUUCUCAGUUCUGCCCAGAGAUUAAGUGCUUUGAACUCCUCUAACCCACUCAGGCAUGCCCUCCUGCUGCAAAAUGCCACUCCCCCCUCCCAGCAGCUUCUCCACUCUGGACACAAAACCCAACUCAGCUAGUUGAUUAAAGUGAUGGACAUUAGGUUGUCAGUUGGUGCUGAACUUCAGCAGGGGUAUUUGCCUUUUUAAAGAGCAUCAUGUCUCUCUGAAAAGGAUCUCCAGUUGGGAUAUGUGGAAGAGAUAAGAGUAACAUCCUAUAGUAUUAUGCUAAGUGAUACAAAUCAGCCAAAGAAAGACAAAUACCAACUGAUUUCACUA